rnacentral:rRNA from 1 species
CGGGUUACCCGCGACAGGACAAAAAGACCCCGUGGAGCUUUACUAUAGCUUGGCACUGAGUCUGGGCUUAUCAUGUGUAGCAUAGGUGGGAGGCUGAGAAGCUGGGGCGCUAGCCUCAGUGGAGCCAUCAUUGAAAUACCACUCUUGGUAAGUUUAGGCCCUAACCCUAGAGCAAGCUAGGGGACAGUGUCUGGUGGGUAGUUUGACUGGGGCGGUCGCCUCCUAAAAGGUAACGGAGGCGCCCAAAGGUCCCCUCAGGGUGGAUGGAAAUCACCCAUAGAGUGCAUUGGCAUAAGGGGGCUUGACUGUGAGACCUACAAGUCGAGCAGACAGGAAACUGGGGCAAAGUGAUCCCACGGUUCCGAGUGGAAGGGCCGUGGCUUAACGGAUAAAAGCUACCCCGGGGAUAACAGGCUUAUCUUGCCCAAGAGUUCACAUCGACGGCAAGGUUUGGCACCUCGAUGUCGGCUCGUCGCAUCCUGGGGCUGAAGCAGGUCCCAAGGGUCGGGCUGUUCGCCCGUUAAAGCGGUACGCGAGCUGGGUUCAGACCGUCGUGAGACAGGUCGGUCUCUAUCCGUCGUGGGCGUCCGGAGAUUUGAGGGGAGCUCUCUUCAGUACGAGAGGACCGAGAGGGACAGACCUCUGGUGUGCCAGUUGUUCCGCCGGGGCAUUGCUGGGUAGCUAAGUCUGGUUCGGAUAAGCGCUGAAAGCAUCUAAGUGCGAAGCCGGCCCCAAGAUGAUAUCUCCCAUCUCGGUGAUUUAUCACCGAGGGUAAGACCACAAGUAGACUACUUGUUUGAUAGGCGGUGGGUGAAAGCGUGGUAACAUGUUUAGCUUAACCGUACUAAUGGUCGAGGGCUUGACCUG